rnacentral:rRNA from 1 species
ACGGGUGAGUAACACGUGGGUUACCUGCCCCGAUGACCGGGACAACCCGUCGAAAGACGGGCUAAUACCGGAUGUGCCCCUUGGGGGAAAGGAAGCUUCGGCCUCCGCAUCGGGAUGGGCCCGCGGCGCAUUAGCUUGUUGGUGGGGUAAUGGCCUACCAAGGCGACGAUGCGUAGCUGGUCUGAGAGGACGAUCAGCCACACUGGGACUGAGACACGGCCCAGACUCCUACGGGAGGCAGCAGUGGGGAAUCUUGCACAAUGCGCGAAAGCGUGAUGCAGCAACGCCGCGUGCGGGAAGAAGGCCUUAGGGUUGUAAACCGCUUUCAGUUGGGACGAAGCUUCACAGGUUAAUAGCCUAUCGGAGUGACGGUACCUUCAGAAGAAGCGCCGGCUAACUACGUGCCAGCAGCCGCGGUAAUACGUAGGGCGCGAGCGUUGUCCGGAAUCAUUGGGCGUAAAGCGCGUGUAGGCGGCUUAGUAAGUCGACUGUGAAAGUCCAGGGCUCAACCCUGGAAUGUCGGUCGAUACUGCUGAGCUGGAGU